CCUUUGUACACACCGCCCGUCGCUACUACCGAUUGAAUGGCUUAGUGAGGCCCUCGGAUCGAUGUUCGGAGACUGGCAACAGUUUCCGUUCGUUGAGAAGUUGGUCAAACUUGGUCAUUUAGAGG
rnacentral:rRNA from 1 species